AUUGAACGCUGGCGGCAUGCUUUAUACAUGCAAGUCGAACGGUAACGCGGGGGCAACCCUGGCUACGAGUGGCGAACGGGUGAGUAAUACAGCGGAACGUGCCCAAUCGUGGGGGAUAACCAGUCGAACGAGUGUCUAAUACCGCAUACGCCCUAAGGGUGAAAGCGGGGGGCAGUAAGGCCUCGCGCGAUUGGAGCGGCCGAUGUCUGAUUAGAUAGUUGGCGGGGUAAGAGCCUACCAAGGCGACGAUCUGUAGCCGGUCUGAGAGGAUGAUCCGCCACACUGGAACUGAGACACGGUCCAGACUCCUACGGGAGGCAGCAGUGGGGAAUUUUGGACAAUGGGGGCAACCCUGAUCCAGCCAUGCCGCGUGAGUGAAGAAGGCCUUCGGGUUGUAAAGCUCUUUCGGCCGGGAAGAAAUCGCAUGGGCUAAUACCCUGUGUGGAUGACGGUACCGGAAUAAGAAGCACCGGCUAACUACGUGCCAGCAGCCGCAGUAA
rnacentral:rRNA from 1 species